GACGAACGCUGGCGGCGUGCUUAACACAUGCAAGUCGAACGGAAAGGCCCUGCUUUUGUGGGGUGCUCGAGUGGCGAACGGGUGAGUAACACGUGAGUAACCUGCCCUUGACUUUGGGAUAACUUCAGGAAACUGGGGCUAAUACCGGAUAGGAGCUCCUGCUGCAUGGUGGGGGUUGGAACGUUUCGGCGGUUGGGGAUGGACUCGCGGCUUAUCAGCUUGUUGGUGGGGUAGUGGCUUACCAAGGCUUUGACGGGUAGCCGGCCUGAGAGGGUGACCGGCCACAUUGGGACUGAGAUACGGCCCAGACUGCUACGGGAGGCAGCAGUGGGGAAUAUUGCACAAUGGGCGGAAGCCUGAUGCAGCAACGCCGCGUGCGGGAUGACGGCCUUCGGGUUGUAAACCGCUUUCGCCUGUGACGAAGCGUGAGUGACGGUAAUGGGUAAAGAAGCACCGGCUAACUACGUG
rnacentral:rRNA from 1 species